GAUGAACGCUAGCUACAGGCUUAACACAGGCAAGUCGAGGGGUAACGAGAGGAAAGCUUGCUUUCCUUGUCGACGACCGGCGCACGGGUGAGUAACGCGUAUCCAACCUGCCCCCAACUAGGGAAUAACCUUGCGAAAGUAAGACUAAUACCCUAUAAUUUCCUCAGAUGACACCUGACGAGGAAUAAAGAUUUAUCGGUUGUGGAUGGGGAUGCGUCUGAUUAGCUUGUUGGCGGGGUAACGGCGCACCAAGGCAACGAUCAGUAGGGGUUCUGAGAGGAAGGUCCCCCACAUUGGAACUGAGACACGUUCCAAACUCCUACGGGAGGCAUCAGUGAGGAAUAUUGGUCAAUGGGCGGAAGCCUGAACCAGCCUAGUGGCGUGCAGGACGACGGCCCUAUGGGUUGUAAACUGCUUUUAUACAGUAAUAAAGUUAGCCACGUGUGGUUAUUUGUAGGUACUGUAUGAAUAAGGACCGGCUAAUUCCGGGCCAGCAGCAGCCGCGG
rnacentral:rRNA from 1 species